GGGGUUGUGACUCACUGGUAGAGUUAUUGCCUAGCAUGUAUGAGGCCCUGGGUUCGAUUUUCAGCACCGCA
rnacentral:tRNA from 1 species